rfam:Eutrema salsugineum unplaced genomic scaffold scaffold_10, whole genome shotgun sequence.
AAACGAAUACGAUUUGUUUCCCUAUUGGUUUGAUCGCCGAUAUGAUGGCAUCUUACGUACUGUAUUAGCACUAUCUGAUCCAUUC